AGUUCCAUAAGAGUUUUGGCCAAUAGGUUGAUGCAGAUUAUAAUAUUAAGAAUCCCAUAAAAACUUUAGUUGCUAGGCUAAUAUUGAUUAUAAGGUGAAUUUUGUUCUUUACGCCUUUCACAAUUUUAUAGUUCUAUUUUUUUUGAUGAACUGAAUAUUAGUUUAUAGACUUCUUAAGCAAUUGUACUUCUUAGCGAACACCUGUCGGCUUUACAUCUAGUUCUUUUCAGCAUUAAUUUAAGAUGAUCGGCCC
rnacentral:lncRNA from 1 species